UUGCGCAUGGCUACUGUAAACCUCCAGUUCACUCAACAAUCAAUGCGGAUCUCCGGCUUACUCCACAAUUAAUGCGGAUCUCCGGCCUACUCUGCAAUUAAUACGGAUCUCCGGCUUACUCCACAUUUAAUGCGUAUGGCUCCUGUCAUCUACGGACUCUCAGCUCUCCACGGCGAGUUAGCCCAGCAGAGUCUGGUCAACCAUGAUAAGUCUCUGAUCUCGGCCAUACCUCCGACGCCAAUGCAAUGAUUCGCCUGGUAGCGUACUGGUUCGGGUCGUACGACGCCCUCACCGCCGACAUCAGCACAAUGAUUCGCCUGACCGUGCGCCGACCUGAGCCGCAUGCCGAGCCGUACUAU
rnacentral:lncRNA from 1 species